rnacentral:rRNA from 1 species
AUGAGUUUAUUUGAUGAUAAUCCCACUAUUUUGGAAGAGUGUCAACUUUGCAUGCAUGAGGAUCGUGUAGAGAAUAUGUUAUGUGAUAGCUAUAUUGUUGAAUUUGAAUAUGAUCCGAGAUGCAAUUAUUAUGAGAGAGGAAAAUAUGGUUGUAGAAAUUUUCAUGUUACUAAAUUACCUCUCUUCAUGUUGAGAUUGCUAUUGUUUCUUUCUUUUUCCUUGCAUAUACUAGUUUUUGCUUGCUUUGAUAAUUUGUUUUCUUAUAAAAUGCCUAUGCAUAGGAAGUAUGUUAGACUUAAAUAUGUUUGUCACAUGUUUUAUGAUGCUCUAUUUGUGUUUCAAUUAUUAUCUUUCAUGUGA